rnacentral:rRNA from 1 species
CCUACGGGUGGCAGCAGUCGAGAAUCAUUCACAAUGGGGGAAACCCUGAUGGUGCGACGCCGCGUGCGGGAAUGAAGGUCUUCGGAUUGUAAACCCCUGUCAUGUGGGAGCAAAUUAAAAAGAUAGUACCACAAGAGGAAGAGACGGCUAACUCUGUGCCAGCAGCCGCGGGAAUACAGAGGUCUCAAGCGUUGUUCGGAAUCACUGGGCGUAAAGCGUGCGUAGGCUGUUUCGUAAGUCGUGUGUGAAAGGCGCGGGCUCAACCCGCGGACGGCACAUGAUACUGCGAGACUAGAGUAAUGGAGGGGGAACCGGAAUUCUCGGUGUAGCAGUGAAAUGCGUAGAUAUCGAGAGGAACACUCGUGGCGAAGGCGGGUUCCUGGACAUUAACUGACGCUGAGGCACGAAGGCCAGGGGAGCGAAAGGGAUUAGAUACCCCAGUAGUC